CAGUAGCCGCGGUAAUACAGAGGGUGCGAGCGUUAAUCGGAUUUACUGGGCGUAAAGCGUGCGUAGGCGGCUAAUUGAGUCGGAUGUGAAAUCCCCGAGCUUAACUUGGGAAUUGCAUUCGAUACUGGUUAGCUAGAGUGUGAGAGGAUGGUAGAAUUCCAGGUGUAGCGGUGAAAUGCGUAGAGAUCUGGAGGAAUACCGAUGGCGAAGGCAGCCAUCUGGCCUAACACUGACGCUGAGGUACGAAAGCAUGGGGAGCAAACAGGAUUAGAUACCCCCGUAGUCCCUGUCUCUUAUACAC
rnacentral:rRNA from 1 species